rnacentral:rRNA from 1 species
ACUCCUACGGGAGGCAGCAGUAGGGAAUCUUCCGCAAUGGACGAAAGUCUGACGGAGCAACGCCGCGUGAGUGAUGAAGGUUUUCGGAUCGUAAAGCUCUGUUGUUAGGGAAGAACAAGUACCGUUCGAACAGGGCGGUACCUUGACGGUACCUAACCAGAAAGCCACGGCUAACUACGUGCCAGCAGCCGCGGUAAUACGUAGGUGGCAAGCGUUUUCCGGAAUUAUUGGGCGUAAAGGGCUCGCAGGCGGUUUCUUAAGUCUGAUGUGAAAGCCCCCGGCUCAACCGGGGAGGGUCAUUGGAAACUGGGGAACUUGAGUGCAGAAGAGGAGAGUGGAAUUCCACGUGUAGCGGUGAAAUGCGUAGAGAUGUGGAGGAACACCAGUGGCGAAGGCGACUCUCUGGUCUGUAACUGACGCUGAGGAGCGAAAGCGUGGGGAGCGAACAGGAUUAGAUACCCUGGUAGUCCACGCCGUAAACGAUGAGUGCUAAGUGUUAGGGGGUUUCCGCCCCUUAGUGCUGCAGCUAACGCAUUAAGCACUCCGCCUGGGGAGUACGGUCGCAAGACUGAAACUCAAAGGAAUUGACGGGGGCCCGCACAAGCGGUGGAGCAUGUGGUUUAAUUCGAAGCAACGCGAAGAACCUUACCAGGUCUUGACACCCUCUGACAAUCCUAGAGAUAGGACGUCCCCUUCGGGGGCAGAGUGACAGGUGGUGCAUGGUUGUCGUCAGCUCGUGUCGUGAGAUGUUGGGUUAAGUCCCGCAACGAGCGCAACCCUUGAUCUUAGUUGCCAGCAUUCAGUUGGGCACUCUAAGGUGACUGCCGGUGACAAACCGGAGGAAGGUGGGGAUGACGUCAAAUCAUCAUGCCACUUAUGACCUGGGCUACACACGUGCUACAAUGGACAGAACAAAGGGCAGCGAAACCGCGAGGUUAAGCCAAUCCCACAAAUCUGUUCUCAGUUCGGAUCGCAGUCUGCAACUCGACUGCGUGAAGCUGGAAUCGCUAGUAAUCGCGGAUCAGCAUGCCGCGGUGAAUACGUUCCCGGGCCUUGUACACACCGCCCGUCACACCACGAGAGUUUGUAACACCCGAAGUCGGUGAGGUAACCUUUUAGGAGCCAGCCGCCGAAGGUGGGACGGAUGAUUGGGGUGAAGUCGUAACAAGGUAGCCGUAUCGGAAGGUGCGGCUG